UACGGAGGGGGCUAGCGUUGUUCGGAAUUAUUGGGGCGUAAAGGGUGCGUAGGCGGUCUGACAAGUCUGAUGUGAAAUCUAUGGGCUCAACCCAUAGUCUGCAUCGGAAACUGUCGGGCUUGAGUAUGGGAGAGGUGAGUGGAAUUUCCGGUGUAGCGGUGAAAUGCGUAGAUAUCGGAAGGAACACCUGUGGCGAAAGCGGCUCACUGGACCAGU
rnacentral:rRNA from 1 species